rnacentral:rRNA from 1 species
UGGGGAAUUUUGGACAAUGGGCGAAAGCCUGAUCCAGCAAUGCCGCGUGUGUGAAGAAGGCCUUCGGGUUGUAAAGCACUUUUGUCCGGAAAGAAAUCCUUGGCUCUAAUACAGUCGGGGGAUGACGGUACCGGAAGAAUAAGCACCGGCUAACUACGUGCCAGCAGCCGCGGUAAUACGUAGGGUGCAAGCGUUAAUCGGAAUUACUGGGCGUAAAGCGUGCGCAGGCGGUUUGCUAAGACCGAUGUGAAAUCCCCGGGCUCAACCUGGGAACUGCAUUGGUGACUGGCAGGCUAGAGUAUGGCAGAGGGGGGUAGAAUUCCACGUGUAGCAAUGAAAUGCGUAGAGAUGUGGAGGAAUACCGAUGGCGAAGGCAGCCCCCUGGGCCAAUACUGACGCUCAUGCACGAAAGCGUGGGGAGCAAACAGGAUUAGAUACCCUGGUAGUCCACGCCCUAAACGAUGUCAACUAGUUGUUGGGGAUUCAUUUCCUUAGUAACGUAGCUAACGCGUGAAGUUGACCGCCUGGGGAGUACGGUCGCAAGAUUAAAACUCAAAGGAAUUGACGGGGUCC